GUGUCAGCCGCCGCGGUAAUACGAGGGGGGCGAGCGUUGUUCGGAAUUAUUGGGCGUAAAGGGUGCGUAGGCGGUUUUGUAAGUCUUAUGUGAAAUCUAUGGGCUCAACUCAUAGACUGCAUGAGAAACUGCAGGGCUUGAGUAUGGGAGAGGUGAGUGGAAUUCCUGGUGUAGCGGUGAAAUGCGUAGAUAUCAGGAGGAACACCUGUGGCGAAAGCGGCUCACUGGACCAUAACUGACGCUGAUGCACGAAAGCUAGGGGAGCAAACAGGAUUAGAAACCCUCGUAGUCC
rnacentral:rRNA from 1 species